UACGUAGGGUGCGAGCGUUAAUCGGAAUUACUGGGCGUAAAGCGUGCGCAGGCGGUUCGUUGUGUCGGCGGUGAAAGCCCCGGGCUUAACCUGGGAAUGGCCGUUGAAACUGGCGAACUGGAGUGUGGCAGAGGGGGGUGGAAUUCCGCGUGUAGCAGUGAAAUGCGUAGAGAUGCGGAGGAACACCGAUGGCGAAGGCAGCCCCCCGGGCUAACACUGACGCUCAGGCACGAAAGCGUGGGGAGCAAACAGG
rnacentral:rRNA from 1 species